rnacentral:rRNA from 1 species
GGGUUGUGAGGUUAAGCGACUAAGCGUACACGGUGGAUGCCCUGGCAGUCAGAGGCGAUGAAGGACGUGCUAAUCUGCGAUAAGCGUCGGUAAGGUGAUAUGAACCGUUAUAACCGGCGAUUUCCGAAUGGGGAAACCCAGUGUGUUUCGACACACUAUCAUUAACUGAAUCCAUAGGUUAAUGAGGCGAACCGGGGGAACUGAAACAUCUAAGUACCCCGAGGAAAAGAAAUCAACCGAGAUUCCCCCAGUAGCGGCGAGCGAACGGGGAGCAGCCCAGAGCCUGAAUCAGUGUGUGUGUUAGUGGAAGCGUCUGGAAAGGCGCGCGAUACAGGGUGACAGCCCCGUACACAAAAAUGCACAUGCUGUGAGCUCGAUGAGUAGGGCGGGACACGUGGUAUCCUGUCUGAAUAUGGGGGGACCAUCCUCCAAGGCUAAAUACUCCUGACUGACCGAUAGUGAACCAGUACCGUGAGGGAAAGGCGAAAAGAACCCCGGCGAGGGGAGUGAAAAAGAACCUGAAACCGUGUACGUACAAGCAGUGGGAGCACGCUUAGGCGUGUGACUGCGUACCUUUUGUAUAAUGGGUCAGCGACUUAUAUUCUGUAGCAAGGUUAACCGAAUAGGGGAGCCGAAGGGAAACCGAGUCUUAACUGGGCGUUAAGUUGCAGGGUAUAGACCCGAAACCCGGUGAUCUAGCCAUGGGCAGGUUGAAGGUUGGGUAACACUAACUGGAGGACCGAACCGACUAAUGUUGAAAAAUUAGCGGAUGACUUGUGGCUGGGGGUGAAAGGCCAAUCAAACCGGGAGAUAGCUGGUUCUCCCCGAAAGCUAUUUAGGUAGCGCCUCGUGAAUUCAUCUCCGGGGGUAGAGCACUGUUUCGGCAAGGGGGUCAUCCCGACUUACCAACCCGAUGCAAACUGCGAAUACCGGAGAAUGUUAUCACGGGAGACACUCGGCGGGUGCUAACGUCCGUCGUGAAGAGGGAAACAACCCAGACCGCCAGCUAAGGUCCCAAAGUCAUGGUUAAGUGGGAAACGAUGUGGGAAGGCCCAGACAGCCAGGAUGUUGGCUUAGAAGCAGCCAUCAUUUAAAGAAAGCGUAAUAGCUCACUGGUCGAGUCGGCCUGCGCGGAAGAUGUAACGGGGCUAAACCAUGCACCGAAGCUGCGGCAGCGACGCUGAUGCGUUGUUGGGUAGGGGAGCGUUCUGUAAGCCUGUGAAGGUGUGCUGUGAGGCAUGCUGGAGGUAUCAGAAGUGCGAAUGCUGACAUAAGUAACGAUAAAGCGGGUGAAAAGCCCGCUCGCCGGAAGACCAAGGGUUCCUGUCCAACGUUAAUCGGGGCAGGGUGAGUCGACCCCUAAGGCGAGGCCGAAAGGCGUAGUCGAUGGGAAACAGGUUAAUAUUCCUGUACUUGGUGUUACUGCGAAGGGGGGACGGAGAAGGCUAUGUUGGCCGGGCGACGGUUGUCCCGGUUUAAGCGUGUAGGCUGGUUUUCCAGGCAAAUCCGGAAAAUCAAGGCUGAGGCGUGAUGACGAGGCACUACGGUGCUGAAGCAACAAAUGCCCUGCUUCCAGGAAAAGCCUCUAAGCAUCAGGUAACAUCAAAUCGUACCCCAAACCGACACAGGUGGUCAGGUAGAGAAUACCAAGGCGCUUGAGAGAACUCGGGUGAAGGAACUAGGCAAAAUGGUGCCGUAACUUCGGGAGAAGGCACGCUGAUAUGUAGGUGAAGUCCCUCGCGGAUGGAGCUGAAAUCAGUCGAAGAUACCAGCUGGCUGCAACUGUUUAUUAAAAACACAGCACUGUGCAAACACGAAAGUGGACGUAUACGGUGUGACGCCUGCCCGGUGCCGGAAGGUUAAUUGAUGGGGUUAGCCGCAAGGCGAAGCUCUUGAUCGAAGCCCCGGUAAACGGCGGCCGUAACUAUAACGGUCCUAAGGUAGCGAAAUUCCUUGUCGGGUAAGUUCCGACCUGCACGAAUGGCGUAAUGAUGGCCAGGCUGUCUCCACCCGAGACUCAGUGAAAUUGAACUCGCUGUGAAGAUGCAGUGUACCCGCGGCAAGACGGAAAGACCCCGUGAACCUUUACUAUAGCUUGACACUGAACAUUGAGCCUUGAUGUGUAGGAUAGGUGGGAGGCUUUGAAGUGUGGACGCCAGUCUGCAUGGAGCCGACCUUGAAAUACCACCCUUUAAUGUUUGAUGUUCUAACGUUGACCCGUAAUCCGGGUUGCGGACAGUGUCUGGUGGGUAGUUUGACUGGGGCGGUCUCCUCCUAAAGAGUAACGGAGGAGCACGAAGGUUGGCUAAUCCUGGUCGGACAUCAGGAGGUUAGUGCAAUGGCAUAAGCCAGCUUGACUGCGAGCGUGACGGCGCGAGCAGGUGCGAAAGCAGGUCAUAGUGAUCCGGUGGUUCUGAAUGGAAGGGCCAUCGCUCAACGGAUAAAAGGUACUCCGGGGAUAACAGGCUGAUACCGCCCAAGAGUUCAUAUCGACGGCGGUGUUUGGCACCUCGAUGUCGGCUCAUCACAUCCUGGGGCUGAAGUAGGUCCCAAGGGUAUGGCUGUUCGCCAUUUAAAGUGGUACGCGAGCUGGGUUUAGAACGUCGUGAGACAGUUCGGUCCCUAUCUGCCGUGGGCGCUGGAGAACUGAGGGGGGCUGCUCCUAGUACGAGAGGACCGGAGUGGACGCAUCACUGGUGUUCGGGUUGUCAUGCCAAUGGCACUGCCCGGUAGCUAAAUGCGGAAGAGAUAAGUGCUGAAAGCAUCUAAGCACGAAACUUGCCCCGAGAUGAGUUCUCCCUGACUCCUUGAGAGUCCUGAAGGAACGUUGAAGACGACGACGUUGAUAGGCCGGGUGUGUAAGCGCAGCGAUGCGUUGAGCUAACCGGUACUAAUGAACCGUGAGGCUUAACCUUACAACGCCGAAGGUGUUU